ensembl:lncRNA
CAUGCUGUACUUUUUAAAUUCAUACUGUACUUUUUAAUUCAUACACUACCUUUUAAUUCAUACUCUACUUUUUAUGUGAAAUAAGCUCAGAUUUCUAUAGUGGAGAGUACUACUGUUAUUUAUUGUAGAUGUAUAUUGUUUUUCUUCUAUACCACCAACUACACCCACAGCCCCUGGAAACAAACACUACUCUUUAACUGGCCCCAGUCCAUUCCAGUUCAGAUAUCUGAAUAGAAACGGAAUGUGUCCGGACUCUGCUCUAGAACUUCAGCAGCCAAAGACAGAAACAGGGCAACAUUUGUUAACUUCCUGUAGGGAUGAAUUGGUUUAAAACAGGACAAUGUUAACUUCCUGUAGGGAUGAAUUGGUUUAAAACAGGACAAUGUUAACUUCCUGUAGGGAUGAAUUGGUUUAAAACAGGACAAUGUUAACUUCCUGUAGGGAUGAAUUGGUUUAAAACAGGACAAUGUUAACUUCCUGUAGGGAUGAAUUGGUUUAAAACAGGACAAUGUUAACUUCCUGUAGGGAUGAAUUGGUUUAAAACAGGACAUUGUUAACUUCUCUGAAAUAAACGGGUUUUGCAUGUAAAGAUCAGAGGCCUUAUGAAAAUAAGAGUAGCUGUAUUAUCAACUUGUAAACAAGCAUCAAAAAGGUUUUCAUUUUUCUCAACUAAAUGAUGACAUACCCAAUGAGUGUUAGGAAAGGAAUCCAGGAACUAAUAUGGUGCUUUUUCAUUGGUGUUCUCUGUUUUGUUAACAGUUUGAUUUAACAUGUGUUUUUAGUUUUGAGGCUCAAUUCAAUCAAACCCACAUUGAUGUAUUUACGCAGCAACAUUUUCAAAAGCUCAAAUGAACUACUAGACUAGUCUUAAGUACACAAACCUACGUAGGCUCCCUCAGACGUCUGCCUGGACAAAUCAGAGAAGUCAUUUGGCACUGGAUUAAUAUAACAUAAAUAAAGGUGCUGCUUAAACAUUGCUAUGGCAGGUUGGAUUGACUCCUGGGCUUGGUUUAUGACCAGGUUUUUUGAGGUGUGUGCGCGCUCAUAAAGUCAGUCUUUGUUGAUACAAAUAGUCUAAAUCUUCAUCUCCAGUUAUUUCAUCUUCACCUCUCAUUAUUCCUCUUUCCUUCUCUCAUCUUCUCUCCUUCACAUCUGCUCAGUUCUGCUCCCUAUAUCUUCUGUCAGCUCCUUCAUCUGUUAAUGAAUUGAACAGGUGCAAAGCUCACUGAGCAGCUGCCAUUUUAUUUUUGUAGAAUUCUGUGUGGUCAGAUGAAUGCUGAUGUGACAACUUGAGGAACCAAUGAGAGGAGAGGAAGCCACAGCAGAUGUCAGCUGGGGUCAAAACAUGAAUUCUGUUGCAAAAAUUUUUCUAAUAAUUGAAGCUAAAGGAGUGAAACUGGGACCUGAAUUUGUCCAACAGACAACAGUUUGCAAACAGUCGGCAGAAUGAACACACCCCGCUGACAAGAGACUGGUCAGUGUCCCUCCAGGGCCUCGUUUGUUCAGGGCUGCUGAUGUUUUAUUGAGUACAUGAAGAAGUGUUCUGAGAGUGUCUGUGUCCUUUGAUUGGGGAGCUUUCAGUUUGCAUGUUUUACUAGCACUUUUUUUCUACCGUAUUAUAAAGACUGUCCUGGGAGCAGGAGUGUUGUGUAGCUGACGUCAACUCCAGGCGUCCCUGUUUUGAAACUGUAAUGUGUGGUGUUCUAAUAAAUAGACAGAAAGACCUG